rnacentral:tRNA from 1 species
GCAUUGGUGGUCCAGUGGUAGAAUUCUCACCUUCCAUGCAGGAGACCCAGGUAUGAUUCCUGGUCAAUGUA